AUUAUAACCAGUAUUGAGCAAAGUAGAGACAAUGCCUAGUGAAUUAGCUAUGAACAAUGAUGAGCUACAUGUGGUUAUGUUCCCAUUCCUUGCAUUUGGCCACAUUAGUCCAUUUGUUCAGCUCUCCAACAAGUUGUUCUCUCAUGGUGUUCAUGUCACUUUCUUGUCAGCUGCAUCCAACAUUCCCAGAAUCAGAUCAACUCUUAAUCUCAAUCCAGCCAUCAAUGUUAUCUCACUAAAGUUCCCAAAUGGUAUAACCAACACUGCUGAAUUGCCACCUCACUUAGCUGGAAAUCUCAUACACGCCCUUGACCUCACUCAAGAUCAGGUGAAGUCCCUUUUGUUGGAACUCAAACCCCACUAUGUUUUCUUUGACUUUGCACAACAUUGGCUCCCAAAAUUAGCUUCUGAAGUUGGCAUCAAGUCUGUUCAUUUCUCAGUCUACUCUGCCAUUUCUGAUGCUUACAUUACCGUGCCUUCUAGAUUUGCUGAUGUUGAAGGAAGAAACAUCACUUUUGAGGAUCUUAAAAAGCCUCCACCUGGGUAUCCUCAAAACUCUAAUAUUUCCCUCAAGGCCUUUGAGGCCAUGGACUUUAUGUUCCUCUUCACAAGAUUUGGUGAAAAAAACCUUACUGGUUAUGAGCGAGUUUUGCAAAGCCUUGGUGAGUGUUCAUUCAUAGUGUUCAAAACGUGCAAGGAAAUAGAAGGACCCUACUUAGACUACAUAGAAACGCAAUUUCGAAAACCAGUUUUGCUAUCUGGUCCACUAGUCCCCGAGCCAUCAACCGAUGUGCUUGAGGAAAAGUGGUCCAAAUGGUUAGAUGGUUUCCCUGCCAAAUCUGUCAUAUUAUGCUCCUUUGGCAGUGAGACAUUUCUGAGUGAUUAUCAAAUCAAAGAACUAGCCAGUGGGUUAGAACUCACUGGCUUACCUUUCAUUUUGGUUCUGAAUUUCCCAUCCAAUCUCUGCCAAAGCUGAGUUGGAGAGAGCAUUGCCAAAAGGGUAUUUGGAAAGAGUGAAGAAUAGAGGAGUGGUGCACAGUGGUUGGUUUCAGCAGCAGCUUGUGCUGAAACACUCAAGUGUGGGGUGCUAUGUAUGCCAUGGUGGCUUUAGUUCAGUGAUUGAAGCUAUGGUCAAUGAGUGUCAACUGGUGCUGUUGCCUUUCAAGGGUGACCAGUUUUUCAAUUCUAAGCUCAUUGCCAAUGAUUUAAAGGCAGGGGUAGAGGUGAAUAGGAGUGAUGAAGAUGGGUUCUUUCACAAAGAGGAUAUACUGGAGGCAUUGAAAACUGUCAUGUUGGAGGAUAACAAAGAGCAAGGGAAGCAAAUAAGAGAAAACCACAUGCAAUGGAGCAAGUUUUUAUCAAAUAAGGAAAUUCAGAACAAAUUCAUCACAGAUCUGGUUGCCCAGUUAAAGUCUAUGGCUUAGUCUUGUCUCUUCCAAUGGAAAAUAAAGUCUACCAAGACUAGAAAGUAUAAACUAUAGUUCAAAAUGAUCAUAUUAUCAUAUAUCAAUUGAGAUAUGCGUGGUCAGUCUCGUUGUUCUUGUGAUUUUGCUUUCCCGUUGUAGGUUUUAUUCUGUGUCUCCUUUCUCCCGAUCAAUUAAUGCAGUUAGGAGAUUCACCUUAAAAAAGCUAAAAAUUGCUUUUGUAACUUGAAGUUAUUGUAUUCCUACUGAUUUUGGUCAAGACCAAGAAGUUGUCUUAUAAUUUGUGCA